rnacentral:rRNA from 1 species
ACUAAGCGUACACGGUGGAUGCCCUGGCAGUCAGAGGCGAUGAAGGACGUGCUAAUCUGCGAUAAGCGUCGGUAAGGUGAUAUGAACCGUUAUAACCGGCGAUUUCCGAAUGGGGAAACCCAGUGUGAUUCGUCACACUAUCAUUAACUGAAUCCAUAGGUUAAUGAGGCGAACCGGGGGAACUGAAACAUCUAAGUACCCCGAGGAAAAGAAAUCAACCGAGAUUCCCCCAGUAGCGGCGAGCGAACGGGGAGCAGCCCAGAGCCUGAAUCAGUGUGUGUGUUAGUGGAAGCGUCUGGAAAGGCGCGCGAUACAGGGUGACAGCCCCGUACACAAAAAUGCACAUGCUGUGAGCUCGAUGAGUAGGGCGGGACACGUGGUAUCCUGUCUGAAUAUGGGGGGACCAUCCUCCAAGGCUAAAUACUCCUGACUGACCGAUAGUGAACCAGUACCGUGAGGGAAAGGCGAAAAGAACCCCGGCGAGGGGAGUGAAAAAGAACCUGAAACCGUGUACGUACAAGCAGUGGGAGCACAGAGCAAUCUGUGUGACUGCGUACCUUUUGUAUAAUGGGUCAGCGACUUAUAUUCUGUAGCAAGGUUAACCGAAUAGGGGAGCCGAAGGGAAACCGAGUCUUAACUGGGCGUUAAGUUGCAGGGUAUAGACCCGAAACCCGGUGAUCUAGCCAUGGGCAGGUUGAAGGUUGGGUAACACUAACUGGAGGACCGAACCGACUAAUGUUGAAAAAUUAGCGGAUGACUUGUGGCUGGGGGUGAAAGGCCAAUCAAACCGGGAGAUAGCUGGUUCUCCCCGAAAGCUAUUUAGGUAGCGCCUCGUGAAUUCAUCUCCGGGGGUAGAGCACUGUUUCGGCAAGGGGGUCAUCCCGACUUACCAACCCGAUGCAAACUGCGAAUACCGGAGAAUGUUAUCACGGGAGACACACGGCGGGUGCUAACGUCCGUCGUGAAGAGGGAAACAACCCAGACCGCCAGCUAAGGUCCCAAAGUCAUGGUUAAGUGGGAAACGAUGUGGGAAGGCCCAGACAGCCAGGAUGUUGGCUUAGAAGCAGCCAUCAUUUAAAGAAAGCGUAAUAGCUCACUGGUCGAGUCGGCCUGCGCGGAAGAUGUAACGGGGCUAAACCAUGCACCGAAGCUGCGGCAGCGACGCUUAUGCGUUGUUGGGUAGGGGAGCGUUCUGUAAGCCUGCGAAGGUGUGCUGUGAGGCAUGCUGGAGGUAUCAGAAGUGCGAAUGCUGACAUAAGUAACGAUAAAGCGGGUGAAAAGCCCGCUCGCCGGAAGACCAAGGGUUCCUGUCCAACGUUAAUCGGGGCAGGGUGAGUCGACCCCUAAGGCGAGGCCGAAAGGCGUAGUCGAUGGGAAACAGGUUAAUAUUCCUGUACUUGGUGUUACUGCGAAGGGGGGACGGAGAAGGCUAUGUUGGCCGGGCGACGGUUGUCCCGGUUUAAGCGUGUAGGCUGGUUUUCCAGGCAAAUCCGGAAAAUCAAGGCUGAGGCGUGAUGACGAGGCACUACGGUGCUGAAGCAACAAAUGCCCUGCUUCCAGGAAAAGCCUCUAAGCAUCAGGUAACAUCAAAUCGUACCCCAAACCGACACAGGUGGUCAGGUAGAGAAUACCAAGGCGCUUGAGAGAACUCGGGUGAAGGAACUAGGCAAAAUGGUGCCGUAACUUCGGGAGAAGGCACGCUGAUAUGUAGGUGAAGUCCCUCGCGGAUGGAGCUGAAAUCAGUCGAAGAUACCAGCUGGCUGCAACUGUUUAUUAAAAACACAGCACUGUGCAAACACGAAAGUGGACGUAUACGGUGUGACGCCUGCCCGGUGCCGGAAGGUUAAUUGAUGGGGUCAGCGCAAGCGAAGCUCUUGAUCGAAGCCCCGGUAAACGGCGGCCGUAACUAUAACGGUCCUAAGGUAGCGAAAUUCCUUGUCGGGUAAGUUCCGACCUGCACGAAUGGCGUAAUGAUGGCCAGGCUGUCUCCACCCGAGACUCAGUGAAAUUGAACUCGCUGUGAAGAUGCAGUGUACCCGCGGCAAGACGGAAAGACCCCGUGAACCUUUACUAUAGCUUGACACUGAACAUUGAGCCUUGAUGUGUAGGAUAGGUGGGAGGCUUUGAAGUGUGGACGCCAGUCUGCAUGGAGCCGACCUUGAAAUACCACCCUUUAAUGUUUGAUGUUCUAACGUUGACCCGUGAUCCGGGUUGCGGACAGUGUCUGGUGGGUAGUUUGACUGGGGCGGUCUCCUCCUAAAGAGUAACGGAGGAGCACGAAGGUUGGCUAAUCCUGGUCGGACAUCAGGAGGUUAGUGCAAUGGCAUAAGCCAGCUUGACUGCGAGCGUGACGGCGCGAGCAGGUGCGAAAGCAGGUCAUAGUGAUCCGGUGGUUCUGAAUGGAAGGGCCAUCGCUCAACGGAUAAAAGGUACUCCGGGGAUAACAGGCUGAUACCGCCCAAGAGUUCAUAUCGACGGCGGUGUUUGGCACCUCGAUGUCGGCUCAUCACAUCCUGGGGCUGAAGUAGGUCCCAAGGGUAUGGCUGUUCGCCAUUUAAAGUGGUACGCGAGCUGGGUUUAGAACGUCGUGAGACAGUUCGGUCCCUAUCUGCCGUGGGCGCUGGAGAAUUGAGGGGGGCUGCUCCUAGUACGAGAGGACCGGAGUGGACGCAUCACUGGUGUUCGGGUUGUCAUGCCAAUGGCACUGCCCGGUAGCUAAAUGCGGAAGAGAUAAGUGCUGAAAGCAUCUAAGCACGAAACUUGCCCCGAGAUGAGUUCUCCCUGACUCCUUGAGAGUCCUGAAGGAACGUUGAAGACGACGACGUUGAUAGGCCGGGUGUGUAAGCGCAGCGAUGCGUUGAGCUAACCGGUACUAAUGAACCGUGAGGCUUAACC